AUUUCCCCAAUGGGUUCUCCGGAUUUCUGGAGACUUGUAGGGGUUUUGUGGGAUUUUUGAUGUGUCGUCUCCGGACGGGCGGUGCAGGGUAGUCGAGUUAGACUUGGUGGAAUUCCGUCGAUAGGAGUUCCGUCGAGUCUGGUCGGCUGUGUGUUGGACGGUGCAGGGUAGGCUGCUUGGAGAUGGUCGGUUCGAGGAUCGAUUCGAGGGCCGGCCUGUCGAUGGUGUGUGAUGUAUGCGGUCUAGGGUAGGCUGGUUUGUCUUGGUUCAAUUUGAUGUCGGCUCCCGUGCAGGCCAGAGUGAGGGGGGUCCAGGGUAGGUACAGGGUAGGCAGCUUAGAUUUGGUUGAUCUGGAGGUCGAUUGUCCGGCUGGCGGAUCUGACACUGUCGAAACGAGAUGCGAGCGGUGUAGGGUAGGCUAGUUUCGUUCUCGCCAGGUUGCGAUUUGGACAAGAUAUGUGGUUUAGGGUAGGCUCUAGGGUAAGUAGAAUUCGAGUUUCGUCGCCGACAGUUUUCUGUGGGUGUAUGGUAGGUACAGGGUAGGCAAAUCUCUCUCCGGCCAGUACUUGUCUGGUGGUCGUGAGUCGAUUUUUUUGUUUU
rnacentral:misc_RNA from 1 species